rnacentral:rRNA from 1 species
UACGUAGGGGGCAAGCGUUGUCCGGAAUCAUUGGGCGUAAAGAGCGUGUAGGCGGUCCCGUAAGUCCGCUGUGAAAGUCAAAGGCUCAACCUUUGAAUGCCGCUGGAAACUGCCUGGCUUGAGUCCGGAAGGGGCGAGUGGAAUUCCUGGUGUAGCGGUGAAAUGCGCAGAUAUCAGGAGGAACACCAAUGGCGAAGGCGGGUCUCUGGGCAGUAACUGACGCUGAGGAGCGAAAGCGUGGGGAGCGAACAGG